rnacentral:lncRNA from 1 species
AUUGCAGGCUGAAGAGGACUGGCCUUUCAGUGGCCCUCGUGGAACGGUAGGAAGCUGAGCUGGACUCUCUGCCACAUCGUUCGGUUCCCACAACAGCCUGAAAUGGGGUCUUGCCUUGUUGCCCAGGCUGGAGUGCAGCAACGUGAUCAUAGUUUACUGUAGCCUGGGCUCAACUCCUGGGCUCCAGUGAUCCUCCCGCCUCAGCCUCACAAGUAGCUGGGACCAUAGAUGAAGCAGCAGCAGAAAAAAUGGAAGCCAUUUUGGUUAACGGGUCACAUCUUAGCAGUUGGCAGCGUAAGAAGCGGAAGGAUCCACUGGUCAGAAAUGGAGAUUGAGGAGAAGCUGAGAGCACGGAGGGCUUCAGGGGAGAGCCUGUCCUUUGGAAAAGCGGGCAAUUUGCACUCGUGGUAGAUGAGUGGGGAGGCCGCUCAGUCUCUCUGCCCCUUUGCACAUGCUGCACCCGUUUAGUUUGACGUCGUGGAGAGCUCCUCCAGGCACGGGCUGUGUGAAAGGGUUUAAAAGUUUGGGGGCAUGGCUGGGGGUCCCCGCAUGAGGGGUGCUGUGUAGGCUCC